rnacentral:lncRNA from 1 species
UAAGGUUUCAUAAUUAGCGGCCUUCUCGUCUGUUGGUUUCUUCUUGUCACCUGUAACAAUCCCCCACAUAGUCUUGCCCCGCAAGAAAUUUUUCAUAACAUAACUCCAAUAGGCAUAGUUUUUGCCAUCAAGUUGAAUACUAAUGGACUGAAGAGAAUCAUCUCUUGGGGCCAUAUUUCAAUAUCAGUCAAAUAGUAAAUACGAGUAGUAGCAAAAAAUGAUCAAGAUCUCGAAAUCAACAAANAGGUUCUGUAAGAGCUAACUGGUCCCACAAAUCCGACAUAGCUGCAUAAAAUUCCUGAACACUAAGAUUUUUCUGUUGGAGGGCUCGAAUAUCAAACUCUAACUAAUACUUCUUUGCAAAGUUAGACUGAGUAUACAACCUAGCCAAGUGAUCCCAAACCUCCUUUGUCGUGUCAUACUUCGCCAACUGAGUACCAAUAGACUGGAUGACAGAAUUAUUAAUCCAAGUAAUGAUCUUGGAGUUAUCAGUCUCCCAUGAAUCCAGUAAGGUUUCAUAAUUAGCGGCCUUCUCGUCUGUUGGUUUCUUCUUGUCAACUAUAACAAUCCCCCACAUAGUCUUGCCCUGCAAGAAAUUUUUCAUAACAUAACUCCAAUAGGCAUAGUUUUUGCCAUCAAGUUGAAUACUAAUGGACUGAAGAGAAUCAUCUCUUGGGGCCAUAUUUCAAUAUCAGUCAAAUAGUAAAUACGAGUAGUAGCAAAAAAAUGAUCAAGAUCUCGAAAUCAACAAAGCUAGACGAAAACGAAACCCUCAAAACCGACAAACGAACAAAUCAAACCAAACCAAAUACAGAAACGAGCAAAAAAGGCAUACCCCAAAAUUGCAAAUGGUGAC